GUCUCCUUUCUUUCCUCCCCAUGCGACCAGGGUGGUCUGGAACUUGUGGCAAUCCUGUCUUCUGUUUCCUGAAGGCAGGAAUUAUAGGUGCGCAAUCCCACAGCUGGCACUAUUUACUACUUUAAGAAAGAAAUUUCUAUAAGGAUGAUAUCAGAUUAUGAAGAGAGGCUCCCACAGCAGGAACCAGCAGACAGAACCAGUAAACAGUUCCUGAAAUGGUUACAAUAAAUAACUGGAACAAGCAGGAGUACUAACGUGGAUGUGAGAAGAAGCCAAGUAGAAGUUCACAAAUGAAGAUUCUGUGCCUUUGUAUGUAAAGCUAUGGUAAAGUAGAUGUUAGAGGAAACAGGAGGAUGAACUAGAAGUUCCAGUAACAUAAGGAAGGCUGUGUGGAGAUUUAUGGUAGAAGAGAUGGCAUCGUGGCUCAGCAGAGAUGGAAAUUUUAUCAAACACCACUGUGCAAAUGGUUGUCAAUGGAAGACAGAAAAUGUGACUCUCACUUUACAUGAACACAAAAUCCAAGACAGAACGAAACCAAAAAAAGGGACAAACAAAACUUCAACCUUUUAGGGGAAAUGGUAGGAAGCUAUUGUGCCAGGAUGCUAAGGAAGUCUUUAUGGAAUCAGAGAGGAUCACCAGGAAAAGGGUCAUUGUGUUACCUCAGGCAGAGUAGUGGAGCCGGACAUGCACCUUAUAGCAGGUAAAAGCUAAUCUCCGUGGUACAGGCUCAGAUAUGUACUGAAAGUAUAGCACUUUCAUUUUUACGUAGUUUUAGGCUAGCUGUCCAAAUCUUUGGUUUCAUUUUGACAUUUUCAUUCAUGGGCAUCACAUUGUCUGCUUCCUCCCACAUGCCAUACUAUAUAUUGAACAUCG
rnacentral:lncRNA from 1 species